rnacentral:misc_RNA from 1 species
GAUCAUCUCUUGGUAAAACGAAAAAUCUUCAGAUCCCAUAACUGGUUGCAUUUCCUUGACCUUGUCAAUGCCAAGCAUAUCUCCUGCAACAUUUUGGAAGUGUUCAUGCAGCUCUUUAUCGUUCACAGUUGGUGGGAAAAUAGGUUUAUCAUUCUCCAAAAAAUCAACGGUUGCAUUGCACCUAUGCACGAUAGCUUGUCCGGUGAUAACCUCUUUAAUACGUUGCUUGAGUUGAAUCAUGCUAUCCUUCAAGAAAGCUCGGAAAGUGCCACCUAUUGUAACAGAAUCUGGAAUUACAUUGAAC